rnacentral:rRNA from 1 species
AUGAACGCUGGCGGCGUGCCUCAUACAUGCAAGUCGCGCGAACAGACGAGGAGCUUGCUCCUCUGACGUUAGCGGCGGACGGGUGAGUAACACGUGGAUAACCUACCUAUAAGACUGGGAUAACUUCGGGAAACCGGAGCUAAUACCGGAUAAUAUAUUGAACCGCAUGGUUCAAUAGUGAAAGACGGUUUUGCUGUCACUUAUAGAUGGAUCCGCGCCGCAUUAGCUAGUUGGUAAGGUAACGGCUUACCAAGGCAACGAUGCGUAGCCGACCUGAGAGGGUGAUCGGCCACACUGGAACUGAGACACGGUCCAGACUCCUACGGGAGGCAGCAGUAGGGAAUCUUCCGCAAUGGGCGAAAGCCUGACGGAGCAACGCCGCGUGAGUGAUGAAGGUCUUCGGAUCGUAAAACUCUGUUAUUAGGGAAGAACAAAUGUGUAAGUAACUAUGCACGUCUUGACGGUACCUAAUCAGAAAGCCACGGCUAACUACGU